rnacentral:rRNA from 1 species
GAUGAACGCUGGCGGCGUGCUUAACACAUGCAAGUCGAACGAAGCACUCUAUUUGAUUUUCUUCGGAAAUGAAGAUUUUGUGACUGAGUGGCGGACGGGUGAGUAACGCGUGGGUAACCUGCCUCAUACAGGGGGAUAACAGUUGGAAACGACUGCCAAUACCGCAUAAGCGCACAGGAUCGCAUGAUCCGGUGUGAAAAACUCCGGUGGUAUGAGAUGGACCCGCGUCUGAUUAGCCAGUUGGCAGGGUAACGGCCUACCAAAGCGACGAUCAGUAGCCGACCUGAGAGGGUGACCGGCCACAUUGGGACUGAGACACGGCCCAAACUCCUACGGGAGGCAGCAGUGGGGAAUAUUGCACAAUGGGGGAAACCCUGAUGCAGCGACGCCGCGUGAGCGAAGAAGUAUUUCGGUAUGUAAAGCUCUAUCAGCAGGGAAGAAGAAUGACGGUACCUGACUAAGAAGCACCGG